GCCGCACGCAUUGCCCAAUGCCCGUGCGGCCCCGUAAUGCGGCUGAUCCGGCGCGUGCCGGACCAACGGUGACAAGCCCGUGAGAACGCAGAGUCAGGC
rnacentral:ribozyme from 1 species